rnacentral:rRNA from 1 species
CAGUAGCCGCGGUAAAACCAGCACCUCGAGUGGUCAGGAGGUUUAUUGGGCCUAAAGCAUCCGUAGCCGGUUGCAUAAGUUUUCGGUUAAAUCUAUGCGCUUAACGUAUAGGCCGCCGAAAAUACUGUGCAGCUAGGGAGUGGGAGAGGUACACGGUACUCGAUAGGAAGGGGUAAAAUCCUUUGAUCUAUUGAUGACCACCUGUGGCGAAGGCGGUGUACCAGAACACGUUCGACGGUGAGGGAUGAAAGCUGGGGGAGCAAACCGGAUUAGAUACCCGAGUAGUCCCUGUCUCUUAUAC